rnacentral:rRNA from 1 species
UGUAGCCUGCUAUGGUAUAACUUAGUGGCAGACGGGUGAGUAAUGUAUAGGAAUCUACCUAGUAGUAUGGAAUAAUUGUUGGAAACGGCAACUAAUACCGUAUACGCCCUACGGGGGAAAAAUUUAUUGCUAUUAGAUGAGCCUAUAUUAGAUUAGCUAAUUGGUGGAGUAAUAGCCUACCAAGGCAAUGAUCUAUAGCUGAUCUGAGAGGAUGAUCAGCCACACUGGAACUGAGAUACGGUCCAGACUCCUACGGGAGGCAGCAGUGGGGAAUAUUGGACAAUGGGCGAAAGCCUGAUCCAGCCAUGCCGCAUGAGUGAAGAAGGCCUUUGGGUUGUAAAGCUCUUUUAGUGAGGAAGAUAAUGACGGUACUCACAGAAGAAGUCCUGGCUAACUCCGUGCCAGCAGCCGCGGUAAUACGGAGAGGGCUAGCGUUAUUCGGAAUUAUUGGGCGUAAAGGGCGCGUAGGCUGGUUAAUAAGUUAAAAGUGAAAUCCCGAGGCUUAACCUUGGAAUUGCUUUUAAAACUAUUAAUCUAGAGAUUGAAAGAGGAUAGAGGAAUUCCUGAUGUAGAGGUAAAAUUCGUAAAUAUUAGGAGGAACACCAGUGGCGAAGGCGUCUAUCUGGUUCAAAUCUGACGCUGAAGCGCGAAGGCGUGGGGAGCAAACAGGAUUAGAUACCCUGGUAGUCCACGCUGUAAACGAUGAAUGUUAAAUAUGGGAAGUUUACUUUCUGUAUUACAGCUAACGCGUUAAACAUUCCGCCUGGGGACUACGGUCGCAAGAUUAAAACUCAAAGGAAUUGACGGGGACCCGCACAAGCGGUGGAGCAUGUGGUUUAAUUCGAUGCAACGCGAAAAACCUUACCACUUCUUGACAUGAAAAUCAUACCUAUA